AGUUCGAUCCUGGCUCAGAUGCAGACGCUGGCGGGAUGCUUUACAUGCAGGUCGAACGCUGGCACGGACUUCGGUCUGGUGGCGAUGGCGACCGGGUGAGUAAUGUAUCGGAACGUGCCUAGUAGCGGGGGAUAACUACGCGAAAGCGUAGCUAAUACAUACGCCCUUCGGGGAAAGCGGGGGACCUUCGGGCCUCGCACUAUUAGAGCGGCCGAUAUCGGAUUGGCUAGUUAAAGGUGAGGUAACGGCUCGCGAGGCGACGAUCCGUAGCUGGUUGAAAGGACGACCAGCCACACUGGGACUGAGACACGGCCCAGACUCCUACGGGAGGCAGCAGUGGGGAAUUUUGGACAAUGGGGGAAACCUGAUCAGCCAUCGGUGUGCGAUGAAGGCCUUCGGGUUGUAAAGCACUUGCUGGCAGGAAAGAAACGGCACGGGAUAAUACCCCGUGCAACUGACGAAACACCUGCAAGAUAAGCACCGGCUAACUACGUGCCAGCAACCGCGGUAAUACGUAGGGUGCAAAGCGUUAAUCAGGAGUACCUGGAGCGUAAAAAGCAUGCGCAGGUUCGGAAAAGAAGAUCGCGCCAAUCCCCGAGCUGCACAACUUUGGAACUGCAUUUUUAACUGCCGAGCUGGGGUAACCGAGGAGGUGGAAUUCCGCGAUAAUGGCGGUGAAAUGCGUAGAUAUGCGGAGGAACACCGAUGGCGAAGGCAGCCUCCUGGGAUAACACUGACGCUCAUGCACGAAAGCGUGGGGAGCAAACAGGUUAGAUACCCUAGUGGUCCCGCCUAAACGAUGUCAACUAGCUGUUGGGGCCUUCGGGCCUUGGUAUGGCCACCAGCUAACGCGUGAAGUUGACCGCCUGGGAAGUACGGUCGCAAAGAUUAAAAACUCAAAGGAAUUGACGGGGACCCGCACAAGCAGGUGGAUGGUAUGGACCCAAUUCGAUGCAACGCGAAAAACCUUACCUACCCUUGACAUGUCUGGAAUAAGAGACCCCGAGGUGCUCGCAAGAGAACCGGAACACGGUGCUGCAUGGCUGUCGUCGGCUCGUAUGUGAGAUGUUGGGUUAAGUCCUGGCAUUUUAACCGCAUCAUUAGUUGCUACGAAAGACACUAAUGAGACUGCCGACGGUGACAAACCGGAGGAAGGUGGGGAUGACGUCGAGUCCUCAUAGCCCUUAACGGUGCAGGAUUCACGUCGCUGGCGGUCGGGACAGAGGGUCGCCAACCCGCGAGGAGCCAAUCCCGAAACCCGAUCGUAGUCCGGAUCAUGAUCUACAACUCGACUGCGUAGAGUCAAGGUCGCUAAUCAUGGAUCAACAUGUCGCGAGUGAAUACGUUUCCCAGGUCUUGUACGCCAUCCUUUGUGAAGUGGGUUACCAAACUAGUUAGCCUAACCAUGGAGAGGGCGAUUACCACGGUAGGAUUCAUGACUGGGGUGAAGUCGUAACAAGGUAA
rnacentral:rRNA from 1 species